rnacentral:lncRNA from 1 species
AUGAUACUCACAAUUUUCCACCUCUCAGUUAUGAUACUCUCAAUUUUACACCUCAGUCCCAAUACUUUCUCCACUUAUCUCUCACUACUAUCAAUAUUCAUAACACGAGCAUUUCAUUUAACACUAGAGCAAGAAACUUACCUGAGUGAAAGAAACUGAAGAGCAAGGAAUGGCCUCCACAUCUGCAGCAUCUAUGGCGCUGCAGUUGGCUCAGGCAACCCAAAAGCAGCAUCCGAGCCUGUGUUCUUUCUUCAAGCCAUUACCUGUGAGGCAAUCAAAGGCAAUAGCAGCAUCAAAACCUGUUGGAAGAUUUGAAAUUAAGGCUUCGCUUAAGGAGAAAGCAGUUACCGGAUUGACAGCAGCUGCAAUGACUGCUUUGAUGAUCAUUCCUGAUGGAGCUGAGGCUGCUGUGUCUGGUGUUUUGCCCUCCCUCAAGAACUUCUUGCUG